rnacentral:rRNA from 1 species
ACGCUGGCGGCGUGCCUAAUACAUGCAAGUCGAACGGUCUUUCUAUGGAAGCUUGCUUCCACUGAGAAGAUAGUGGCGAACGGGUGAGUAACACGUGGGUAACCUGCCCAUAAGAGGGGGAUAACAUCCAGAAACGGGUGCUAAUACCGCAUAGUUUUCUUGAUCGCAUGAUUGAGAAAGGAAAGACGGCCUUUGUGCUGUCGCUUAUGGAUGGACCCGCGGCGUAUUAGUUAGUUGGUGAGGUAACGGCUCACCAAGACGAUGAUACGUAGCCGACCUGAGAGGGUGAUCGGCCACAUUGGGACUGAGACACGGCCCAAACUCCUACGGGAGGCAGCAGUAGGGAAUCUUCCGCAAUGGACGAAAGUCUGACGGAGCAACGCCGCGUGAGUGAAGAAAGGUUUUCGGAUCGUAAAACUCUGUUGUCAGAGAAGAACAAGUUGGAGAGUAACUGCUCCAGCCUUGACGGUAUCUGACCAGAAAGCCACGGCUAACUACGUGCCAGCCGCUGC